AGCGCGAACGCCACCCCCCUGCUUUCAAAGGCCUUGGGAAUGGAUGUGGACAGCAGCAGGCCGGCGAUCAUCAGACCGAAAAGCAUCACCCGGAUGGGCGUGCGCUCCGGGUCGAGCCAGUUGGUGAUCCAGGAUGUGUAGAUCCAGACCCACCAGACCGCCAGAAACAGGAUCGCGGUUUGCAGAACGCCGAGCGGCGUGAAAUGCGCCAGCAGCGUGUGGGAAAUCUG
rnacentral:misc_RNA from 1 species